GAUGAACGCUGGCGGCGUGCCUAAUACAUGCAAGUCGAGCGAACAGACGAGGAGCUUGCUCCUCUGACGUUAGCGGCGGACGGGUGAGUAACACGUGGAUAACCUACCUAUAAGACUGGGAUAACUUCGGGAAACCGGAGCUAAUACCGGAUAAUAUAUUGAACCGCAUGGUUCAAUAGUGAAAGACGGUUUUGUUGUCACUUAUAGAUGGAUCCGCGCCGCAUUAGCUAGUUGGUAAGGUAACGGCUUACCAAGGCAACGAUGCGUAGCCGACCUGAGAGGGUGAUCGGCCACACUGGAACUGAGACACGGUCCAGACUCCUACGGGAGGCAGCAGUAGGGAAUCUUCCGCAAUGGGCGAAAGCCUGACGGAGCAACGCCGCGUGAGUGAUGAAGGUCUUCGGAUCGUAAAACUCUGUUAUUAGGGAAGAACAAAUGUGUAAGUAACUAUGCACGUCUUGACGGUACCUAGUCAGAAAGCCACGGCUAACUACGUG
rnacentral:rRNA from 1 species